rnacentral:rRNA from 1 species
CCUACGGGAGGCAGCAGUGGGGAAUUUUGGACAAUGGGGGCAACCCUGAUCCAGCCAUGCCGCGUGAGUGAAGAAGGCCUUCGGGUUGUAAAGCUCUUUCGGCGGGGAAGAAAUGGCAACGGCUAAUAUCCGUUGUUGAUGACGUACCCGCAUAAGAAGCACCGGCUAACUACGUGCCAGCAGCCGCGGUAAUACGUAGGGUGCGAGCGUUAAUCGGAAUUACUGGGCGUAAAGCGUGCGCAGGCGGUUUCGUAAGACAGACGUGAAAUCCCCGGGCUCAACCUGGGAACUGCGUUUGUGACUGCGAGGCUAGAGUACGGCAGAGGGGGGUAGAAUUCCACGUGUAGCAGUGAAAUGCGUAGAGAUGUGGAGGAAUACCGAUGGCGAAGGCAGCCCCCUGGGUUAGUACUGACGCUCAUGCACGAAAGCGUGGGGAGCAAACAGGAUUAGAUACCCUGGUAGUCCACGCCCUAAACGAUGUCAACUAGGUGUUGGAAGGGUUAAACCUUUUAGUACCGCAGCUAACGCGUGAAGUUGACCGCCUGGGGAGUACGGCCGCAAGGUUAAAACUCAAAGGAAUUGACGGGG